UGAGGAAUAUUGCACAAUGGGCGCAAGCCUGAUGCAGCGACGCCGCGUGUGGGAUGAAGGGGCUACGCCUCGUAAACCACUGUAGCCCGGGACGAAAAACGCCUUAGAGGCGUUAGACGGUACCGGGAAAGUAAGGGUCGGCUAACUACGUGCCAGCAGCCGCGGUAAUACGUAGGACCCAAGCGUUGUCCGGAUUUACUGGGUGUAAAGGGUGCUCAGGCGGAUUUGUAAGUCAGAGGUGAAAUCUCACAGCUUAACUGUGAAACUGCCUUUGAUACUGCAAGCCUAGAGUAUGGAAGAGAGUGAUGGAAUAUCUGGUGUAGCAGUGAAAUGCGUAGAUAUCAGAUAGAACACCAAUGGCGAAGGCAGUCACUUGGUCCAUUACUGACGCUAAAGCACGAAAGCGUGGGUAGCAAACA
rnacentral:rRNA from 1 species